UCCCAUUUGGGGGCAAUAAAGUAAAACCACAGGGGUUUUAGUUGCUUUCAGCUCUGGGUGUUUCUCUGUGAAGUCUGUCUGCUGCUGCCCAGAUGAAGUCUUCCAGAUGUCUGUUGUCCACACAGGGGCUGUUUGUUUGCCUCUGAUCACAGGAUUGUUUACGAAGCCAGGCUCGGGGAAAGCAUUCCUUAUUCAAAUAGAUGAUUAAAACCCUGCAGGAAAAUUCCGUGUCCUUGAGGUUGGGGAACUCGCUGUUCUACUUCAGUGUUGGUCUCUCCUCAGGAACCUUCUGCUCAGCCACCAGUGCUGGUGGGAUGGACUGAUUAUCAGCGGGAUUAAAUGUGUCCUCUGGCUAUAAAACUGGUGCUGGAGUCCUGGGCGACACUUCUAGGGUGAGACUGAUUUGUCUCCUGAGGGAAGAGUUCUAAGGAUUGUGACGUCCCUCUCCUCCCAUGUCAUUUCAGGAUGGAGAGAUUCUGGAUGACUGUGGGUAUUCUGCCCCAAAGGAUCUUCACUCAAGGGCAUCCAUUCAUUUUACAACUAUUUUGUUCCUGCCUGGUACACACCAGCUAUUGGUCAAAGCUCUGGGGCUUAGCAAUGAGCAAGCCGGCCCUAACAGAGCUUAUAGUCUGGUGGAGAAGACGGACACCCCUCAAAUCUCACUCAUAUACUACAGGCACCUGUUUGCCUCCAACUCCCGUCUAGGCAGCCCAGGCUAAGAUAAAGAGAAGACACCGAGGAUGUCAAGUCAUAUCCUCCCAAAAGCUCACAGGAAGACUGGCCAUCCCAAGCACUGGAGGCGAUGUGGAGCAACUCGAGCUCUUAUUCACCGCUGGUGGGAAUGUGAAAUGGAACAGGCUCUUUGAAAAACAGUUGGACAGUUUCUAAAAAAGCUAAACAUAUACCUACUAUAUGGCCCAAUCUCUCUGCCCCGACCUAUUUAUCCAAGAGGAAAAAAAACCCCGUAUGUCCACACAAAGACUUGUACGUGAACGUGUACAGUGGCUCCACUGGAAACAACUCAAAUGUCCCUCAGCUGGUGAGCGUGUAGACAAGUGGCGGUGUGUCCAUACCAUGCAGUUCUACUCAGCAGUGCCAGUGGACGAACUAUUGAUACACACAACACGGGUGAAUUUGAAAGUGAUUACACUGGAAGAAGGACGUGCGAUGAAGAGUACAUACUGUUCGAUUCCAUUUACGUAAGGCCUAGAGCACGCCCCCUGCUCCGUCACAGCGGCACGCGGCUCGGGGCUGCCUGGGGGCGGGGUGGAGGGGAGAUGAGUGCACGCGGGUGGAAGGAGACUUCCGGGGUGACGGGAGGGCCUGCCAUGUUGGCUGCAAUGAGAGUUUCAUGGGAACAGCUUAAUUAAGAUGCAAUUAAAAAAAAAGAAAUAUCCAGGCCCAGAAGUGAACUCAACCAAAUCCUUAGAGAAACGGUAACUCCAACGCGAUUUAAAGCAUUUCAGUUCACAGAGAAAAAAAGGAAGGCUUCCAAAUUCCUUUUAUGAAACCAGCAUAACUUUGAUACCGAAAACCUGGCAGAAAUAGCACACUAAUGAAGGGUGUGCUGCUCUGUGCUCACUCCUGGAGUUAUUAUUAACUCUGUGAAUCAGCUACACUGCCUCUGACCUAGUUUCAAGAUUUUUCUUUGUCUUUGGAAGUUUAAUUACAAUGUGGCUUCGUAUGGGUUUCUUUAGGCUUCUCCUGUUUGAGGAAACUAGCAACCAGGUGACAUGGGAAGACGGGGCAUAUUGGCCUCUAAGACUGAUGCCGGCAAGAGGGCUUCUAACUGGCGGGGCCUGGAGCCAGGACCGGGGGCUCAGGCUCCCCACUGUGCCUCCCAGAAGCCUCUGUUGGAACAGAGGCCCGGGUGGCCGUGGUGCGGAGAAUGAGGCUGUUGUGAUGGGCUGUGCACCUAAGCUUGCACCUCGUCCCUUGGGCCGUGACGGGCGGUGAGCAGAGGGGUGACAGGACCACAGCCAUGUGACGUAACUAGAUUCUGCACACGGUGGAGGAUGGAUUGCAGGGAGAGGAGGCUAGAGACCGCAGGUUUCUAAAGAAAAGGCAGGAGAUGAAGAUACUCGCUGAGGUGGGAGACGUGGGUGUGGGGAGCAGCGGGCACCAGCAGGGGGAAACACAGGGAGUAGAGUAAACUCCUUGGUGUCAGUCGUGGAAAUGGAUUAUUGGAUUUGACACCAAAAGCAAAAAUACACAAGUGGAGCUGUAUCAAACUAGAGCUUCUUCUCAGCAAAGGAAACCAUCAACAAAACGAAAACGCAACAGAAUGGGAGACAAUACUUGCCAAACGUGUAUCUGAUAUGGGGUUAAUAUGCAAACUAUAUAAAGAACUCAUACAACUCAACA